UUAGCUUUAGCGAUGGAUCGGUCGCUUCGUGCAUCGAUGAAGAACGCAGCUAGCUGCGUUAUAUACCACGAAUUGCAGACGCUCAGAGUGGUAAAAUUUCGAAUGCAUAGCGCCGUUGGGCCCGUCCCAACGGCACGUCUGGCUCAGGGUUGUA
rnacentral:rRNA from 1 species